rfam:Gossypium arboreum cultivar AKA8401 contig_11261_5, whole genome shotgun sequence.
AAUAGGAGAAUGACAAAUCAGAUUUUUCAUCCUAAUUUUUAGCUUUUUUCUCUUGAAAAAAAUCAAAUCUAACUAAAAAUGUUAAAAAUCAGAAGGAAAAAAAAAUCUAAUUUGUCAUUUUCCUAUU